rnacentral:rRNA from 1 species
GACGAACGCUGGCGGCGUGCCUAAUACAUGCCAGUCGAACGAACCGCGACUAGGUGCUUGCACUUGGUCAAGGUGAGUGGCGAACGGGUGAGUAACACGUGGGUAACCUACCUCAUAGUGGGGGAUAACAGUCGGAAACGACUGCUAAUACCGCAUAGGACAUAGGAUCACAUGAUCCAGUGAGGAAAGGUGGCGCAAGCUAUCGCUAAGAGAUGGACCCGCGGUGCAUUAGCUAGUUGGUAGGGUAAAGGCCUACCAAGGCGAUGAUGCAUAGCCGACCUGAGAGGGUGAUCGGCCACAUUGGGACUGAGACACGGCCCAAACUUCUACGGGAGGCAGCAGUAGGGAAUCUUCCGCAAUGGACGCAAGUCUGACGGAGCAACGCCGCGUGAGUGAAGAAGGUCUUCGGAUCGUAAAGCUCUGUUGUUAGAGAAGAACAGCGCAUAGAGUAACUGUUAUGCGUGUGACGGUAUCUAACCAGAAAGCCACGGCUAACUACGUG